CGUCUACUGGCACUCUGCUACCAUUUAGCAUGAGAGGAGAUGUGAGUGAAGAAAACUGGGGUAGAAAACGGAGGUGGUUAUACUUCAUGGUGGUAAACAACCUUACUCACACAGGUAACCUUAAGGCGAGAGCUUCCUUUUUCCUGGCUUUGGAAAGGAGCCCAGCCAAGUGAGUGACCUGGGAGCUUAAGCUUCAACGGCUUCGUGGUAAAUGGUAAGUCUACCUCUGCCUUCCACGUAGGCAACCACCAGGGUCUGCUGGCAUAACGUCAGGAGAGUCAGAAAUCACCAGGAGUGGUGAACUGAGGACGGUCUAGAACCAAGGAUUGGUUUGGAUCGGAGGAACCACACCAAAGCCGGUUUCCAGGAGGACCCGGACUUGGGAGCAGAAUGGCGACAGGAGGCACGAGGUCCCGGAGGAAGCGCUACGAUGUCUGGUGAGCAAGGAGAUGUAGCAGAUGUGCAGGGGCCAAUACUGAUGCAUUCCAGAUGGUCACGGCUGGACCAGCAGGCAGAUGGACGUUACUGAUGGGGACGAGGAGUUUGGAAGGGUGGGAUUGUCACAUCCUGUCAGGGGCACAGCGCGACUUAAUGAAACUGGUCAAGAGGGAUUGAGAUCUGGAGUAGCUGAGCCCUCCGCCAGCGAAGGAUUCUUCUUUAGAGUGUGGCCAAGCUGGCCGGGAACCCAGUUCUUCUGACUCCUGUUUUUUUCUUUACUCCAGGCUGCUGCCCAAAUAAAACCUUUACCUCAAGCUACACAUUCGAAACUGGAAGAAGGCAUUCGUUCUUGCCUAGGGAGAGCCUUCCUGGGAGGUGGCUCAUCAAACCCUCGUGUUUUUUUCCCUCCUGCCUCCCACAGACACCUGGUAUCAGUUCCAAAAGACACAUUUAGUGCCUUUAAGCAAAACUAGUUCUUCUGCCUGGGCGAACUAUGACACUGAACUUUCUGUUUCCAGCCCCCUUAAAAAACCUUCAUCAAAUUUCCACCACGCAAAGGUUGAAGUGUUUCGGUCACCGAAGCGGUUCAGUGAUGAUCGUGGUGGCUGUUUCUUAAAGGGGAUACUCAUUCAUUCAUUCAUUCAUUCAUUAUUUCGUUCAUUCAACAGACACGUAGCAAAUUCUGCAGUGUGACAGACAUUGCGCCUGAAGGCAGAGCAAACACAGUCACCGUUUUGACCAUCUUGGAGACUCGCAUCGAAUAAAUCACAAACAAACGUAAACUUGCCACGCUCACCUGAAUAAAAGGCACAGACCUGACCUCUAUGUUCAGCCACUAUGCAAAUACGCUGCUGGGUCAGUGUGAAGGUAUUUGAAGGCGUCCACGUGACAUUCUCCUCAGAUGGCCCCCAUCCUGUCCUUCCCUCUGCUGACGCAAAGACCUUCUCACCCGUCAGAAGGUGAAGCCUUGUCCCUGCCUUGAAUGGGGCUGGCCUUGGAACUUGCUUUGAGCCCGAGAACGCUGUGAAGGGAUCUGUGUGAGACAGUUUGGGGCCAACGCCUUAAGAGAACUGAUGGCCUUCCGCGCCUUCCCUUUCCAAGUCAUCUGCCGCAGACAGAGCCCAAUAGCCCGAGACCACAGUGCUGUGAGGAAGCCAAGCCAGCAGCGGGGAGAGGCCACACGGAGAGAGGGAUGUUCAGCCGGGUCCCAGCUCUUCAGCCUUCCCAGCUGAGACAUCAGACGUGACUGAAGAAGGCCAUGUCCUCUCGGGGCAUUCUUCUCCCAGUGGACACCACGUGGAGCAGGAAAACCACCCAGAGGAAACCAGCGCACAUUGCAAAAGAAGAAUAAAUGGUUAUGGAAUGCAUUUUCAUCAAUCACUUGAACUGAAGGCAUGCGUCUUUUGCUGGACUGAAAAUUGGUAUUUUUGUCUUUUUUUCAAGAGGAUUGUUGGAUCCGUGUGCUCAGAUUCAAAACUGGCAUUGCUCCCUUGUCUUGGAAACAGUGUGAGAGAGAACAUUGCGUUCUUGGAAUCAGAAACUGGUUCCCGAGUUCAGCCUUCAUCCACACAAGGUCUACGGGAAGAGGCAAAAUUUGAGAGAUGGGAAAUUGCGCCCAUGGAGUCAUCAAGGGGUCAUCACCGAGGUAGCAGAUUUAGGACCCAGGUGGAUGGGAUAAUUGCCACCUCUUCCCCCUGAACCAGCAACUGUGCUUCCAAUUUCAUCAACAGAAAGGGGACCAGGGGAAGAAAAACGGCUUUACCCUUACGUAUCUUUUGGUCUGUUGUUGACUCUGCCACAGGCCUUUUGGGAUGUGAGAACGGUCUCAGUGUGUAUGCAGCCUGGCUUUUUUUUAGCACUAUAUACUUCUUGUGGUCAUAGAGCCGUAAGUAAACAUGGAAAAGGUGACAGCCUGGGGACCUCAAGUUAGGAUUGCUGUACGGUGACAUUGAACAAUGGAGUGUCCCCAGUUCUCCCCAAUAAUUCACUGCGGACACUGACAGAACACGUGUUUGUUGAUGGCAGGGUUGGGGUAGUUUGGGGUGGACUGAAGGCAAAGGCUCUCAGUGCCCUCCAAGAUGCUGGUGAGUUCAGAGGACUAAGAUAUUCAAUCAUUGUAGGGCAACAGACUCUUUAAUACCAUGGAAAGUUGGCAAAACCUUGUGAACCUGUGUGAAUCAGAUAUACUGGCUCAAAGUAGAUGAAAUGGAUCAGUUCACAUAACUUUGCCUAGUGUUAGGGCUAUAGGAAUGAAAAUGCCCUAGGAGAAAUCCUGUGGCAGCUUUGCUGAAGCAGGUGUGUGUGUGUGUGUGUGUGUGUGUGUGUGUGUAAGAACCCAUAUCCCAAAUUGUUAUAUGACUUCCACCACUUACAUCAGAAUCCCUUUCUCUUUCUACUGAAUGGCAUUCUUAGCUCCCAACACCCUCCCAGUUCUCAUGCCUGAAGGUCAACUGUGAUUUCAACUUGAUGCUUUUGCCCUAUUGGACACAUGAUUUUUUUUAAGGUAACUUUUUUUUUUUAAGUUUACUUAUUUAUUUUGAGAAGACAGAGACAGC